CUUAGGAAUCUGCCCAGUAGUGGGGGAUAGCCCGGGGAAACCCGGAUUAAUACCGCAUACGUCCUACGGGAGAAAGCAGGGGAUCUUCGGACCUUGCGCUAUUGGAUGAGCCUAAGUCGGAUUAGCUAGUUGGUGGGGUAAAGGCCUACCAAGGCGACGAUCCGUAGCUGGUCUGAGAGGAUGAUCAGCCACAUCGGGACUGAGACACGGCCCGAACUCCUACGGGAGGCAGCAGUGGGGAAUAUUGGACAAUGGGGGCAACCCUGAUCCAGCCAUGCCGCGUGUGUGAAGAAGGCUUUCGGGUUGUAAAGCACUUUCAGUAGGGAGGAAAACCUUAUGGUUAAUACCCAUGAGGCUUGACGUUACCUACAGAAGAAGCACCGGCUAACUCCGUGCCAGCAGCCGCGGUAAUACGGAGGGUGCAAGCGUUAAUCGGAAUUACUGGGCGUAAAGCGCGCGUAGGUGGUUUGGUAAGCGAGAUGUGAAAGCCCCGGGCUUAACCUGGGAACGGCAUUUCGAACUGUCAGACUAGAGUGUGGUAGAGGGUAGUGGAAUUUCCUGUGUAGCGGUGAAAUGCGUAGAUAUAGGAAGGAACACCAGUGGCGAAGGCGGCUACCUGGACCAACACUGACACUGAGGUGCGAAAGCGUGGGGAGCAAACAAGAUUAGAUACCCUGGUAGUCCACGCCGUAAACGAUGUCAACUAGCCGUUGGGGCUCUUGAAGUCUUAGUGGCGCAGCUAACGCACUAAGUUGACCGC
rnacentral:rRNA from 1 species